AGAAUGGUUCCCAAAGGGGUAGUCCUUGAACAUAGACGGUGCCUGAUCUAUAUACAUGACUGACAGGGAAAGCGAAGUAGUUAGCUGCUGAUGAAACUAAAUUUGGAGCAGCAGAGGCUGUGGAACAAAUAAUAAGGGAGACUUAAAAGGAUUCCAAACUGAAGUGUUAGCACAGGUGUAUAAAAUGAGCUUUAAUGCAGACAGAUGUAUACCACGAUAGAGCAAACAGGCAAAGUGCUCAAAAGAGAAAAAGUUUAUUUAAACUGUAAAAGAAUAAAACUCCAGGGCUGUAAUUUCUACAGCCCACAUAGGAGAAUGCAAAGAGCAAGCAGAAAACACAUCUUUACUUAUAUUGUUACCCACAAACUUGCCAAUUCACCUUGUCAGCUAGAAUGAAAAAUCCAAGAUGAAGAUUUUGUUAGAAACUUGAGAGACUUCCAGAGGUGAAGCCAAAAUACCCUCUAAUGUACAUCCAGCUGUGCAUGAUGUGGUACUGUCCUUGAACUUCAGAGAGAACGAGUCUUUGGAGGCAAAAUACACACAUUUAAGUAGAAAGGCUAUAUAGCUGUUUUAUAAUGCAGUCUUUAUAUUUGACAAAAUCUGUUGAUAUUUCUUGGUAUUCCAGACUGCCCAGAGCAAAGACAUCCCUACAAAACAACAACAGGCAGUAUUUGGGAUAUUUCGCUUUUCUCUUCCUAUUGAUCUUUGAUGUAACUGUGUUAUUCACCUGAAUGAACAACAUAAAUUCAGAACUCUUGUGGAUUCAGAACUAUCUAUAUCCUGAUAUACUUUCUUUGCAUCUUGAAAAUGUUUCAAAAAUUGGCAUUGUCAAUCUGUUUUUUUCCAUUUAAAAAGAAAUAGUUUAUUCUCUCUUUCCUUUUUUUUUUUUUUUUUUUAAAGCUAAUCAUGUAUUUUAAAAAUGUUUUGGGGAGACCUUCAGUUCAUAGAAUAAGCUCUACAGUUUAUUAUAGAGCAAAGAUGCACUAAUGCGUGCUUUGGGGUUUUAUGGAUUUCAGUUCAGUCUCAGGGAAUCCUGAAAGUGGAAGAGUUCUUGCAACUCUUCAGGUGGUUAUGGGAUAUAUUAGGAAAACCUACAUGAUGGUUAGGUACGUGCUUCUAGUAUUGUGACAUCUAGAGUCUUUACAUGUAGAAAAAAGUAACUUUCUUUAAUGCAAGCUGUAGAUUUUUUUCAUACUUUUUGCUAUUAUCAUUCAGUAUUGCAACAAAGUAACAUCUUUCUAUUUGUGCAGAUCUAAGAGUUUGAGCUUGCUGCCUUUGUAGACCUAAAGCUUGCACCCACCACAGAGCUCUGUCUAGCCAAAAAGGGCAGCAUCAAGUCCUGAGGAAAUCCAUGCUAAGUCUGAGGCCCCUUUGCAAUGGCUAAAAGUAGCUCCUCCAGGAAUACUUUGCCUGAUCCCUUCACUCAUUCUCUACACGGAACAAACACGUUGGAAAAAGAGAACAGCAACCAGCAUCAGGAGUUGUCCUCCUCUUAGUGAAACUAAGCAAUUGUCCUUGCUACGCAAGCUUGUUUAAAUUAAUAUACCUGAAUUAUCUUCAAGCUCAUUUAUCUCAAGUGAGCCAUGCUUCAGAGCUUUACGCUGGUUUCACAGAACAAUUGUAUUAGUCAUUCAUGAAGAACUUUCAUUUGAACUGAUGUAAACAAUGAACUGCACUAUCACCCACUUCUCUAGUUGUAGUUUUGCCCAUGGUUGAUUUUUGGAUCUAUGUCCAUUGCCAGCCCAGCUAACUCAGCUGUAAAGCACUAGUUUACUAAACAUAGAGAUUUUAAUGGAGAGAAGGAAGCCUGGGGUAGGCAGAAUGUGGUACUUCUGAAGUGAACAAAAUGGUCGUGACAAGCUUUGAGACUAGGCCCUGAGGUCAGUGCACUAGACCAGGGCACCAGAAACCUCAAUCUAUUUUUCUUUCUUUAUCAUUUAGGAGAGUCCUUUAGCUUUGUCAGCCCUUUGUUUCUACACUUUCUUCAUCACUUGGUUUGUCUCUAUUAGGACAAGAAUUAUGUCAUCUUGUAUUAGGAAGCCUCAACUUUACUGAGACCUCAAGGCAUUGCUGCACCAGGAAUAAAUAACAAACAAACAGAGGAGAGAGAAUUAUG
rnacentral:lncRNA from 1 species